GGACGGGUGAGUAACGCGUAGGAACCUACCUAAUAGAUUGGGAUAGCCCAGAGAAAUUUGGAUUAAUACCGAAUACGCCCUACGGGGGAAAGCAGGGGAUCUUCGGACCUUGCGCUAUUAGAUGGGCCUGCGUGAGAUUAGCUAGUUGGUAGGGUAAAGGCCUACCAAGGCGACGAUCUUUAGCUGGUCUGAGAGGAUGAUCAGCCACACUGGAACUGAGACACGGUCCAGACUCC
rnacentral:rRNA from 1 species